rnacentral:rRNA from 1 species
CAGUCCCGCGGUAAUACGUAGGGUGCAAGCGUUAAUCGGAAUUACUGGGCGUAAAGCGUGCGCAGGCGGUUAUAUAAGUCAGAUGUGAAAUCCCCGGGCUCAACCUGGGAACUGCAUUUGAGACUGUAUGGCUAGAGUGUGUCAGAGGGGGGUAGAAUUCCACGUGUAGCAGUGAAAUGCGUAGAUAUGUGGAGGAAUACCGAUGGCGAAGGUAGCCCCCUGGGAUAACACUGACGCUCAUGCACGAAAGCUAGGGGAGCAAAUGGGAUUAGAUACCCCCGUAGUCCCUGUCUCUUAUACA